rnacentral:rRNA from 1 species
GAUGAACGCUAGCGAUAGGCCUAACACAUGCAAGUCGAGGGGCAUCACAUGAAGUAGCAAUACGGAUGGUGGCGACCGGCGCACGGGUGAGUAACACGUAUGCAACCUGCCUUCAACAAGGGGAUAACCCGUUGAAAGACGGACUAAUACCCUAUAACACAGGGGUCCCGCAUGGGAAUAUUUGUUAAAGGACAACCGGUUGAAGAUGGGCAUGCGUUCCAUUAGCUAGUUGGCGGGGUAACGGCCCACCAAGGCAACGAUGGAUAGGGGAACUGAGAGGUUUAUCCCCCACACUGGUACUGAGACACGGACCAGACUCCUACGGGAGGCAGCAGUGAGGAAUAUUGGUCAAUGGACCAAGUCUGAACCAGCCACGUCGCGUGAAGGAAGACGGCCCUAC